AGUGAACGCUGGCGGCGUGCUUAACACAUGCAAGUCGAACGAGAACGGAUUAUAGCUUGCUAUAAUUGUCAGCUAAGUGGCGCACGGGUGAGUAAUGUAUAGGUAAUAUGCCUCUUACUAAGGGAUAACAAUUGGAAACGAUUGCUAAUACCUUAUACUCCUUAUUAACCUAAGUUAAUAAGGGAAAGAUUUAUUGGUAAGAGAUUAGCCUGUAUUGUAUCAGUUAGUUGGUGGGUAAUGGCCUACCAAGACUAUGACACAUAACUGGUUUGAGAGGAUGAUCAGUCACACUGGAACUGAGACACGGUCCAGACUCCUACGGGAGGCAGCAGUGGGGAAUAUUGCACAAUGGACGAAAGUCUGAUGCAGCAACGCCGCGUGGAGGAUGACACAUUUCGGUGCGUAAAACUCCUUUUUAUAUGAGAAGAUAAUGACGGUAUUAUAUGAAUAAGCACCGGCUAACUCCGUGCCAGCAGCCG
rnacentral:rRNA from 1 species